rnacentral:rRNA from 1 species
CAUGGUCUAGUCCAGUUCAACCAAGCAAAACGAACUUUAAGUUUGACCUCCCGAAACUAAGUGAGCUACUUCGAAACAGCUUUUAGAGCCAACCCGUCUCUGUGGCAAAAGAGUGGGAAGAUUUCCAAGUAGCGGUGACAGACCUACCGAACUUAGAGAUAGCUGGUUACUUAAGAAAAGAAUAUUAGUUCUACCUCAAGCCCCCAAAUUACGCUUAAAAACAUGUAAGACUUGAGAGCUAUUCAAAUAAGGCACAGCUUAUUUGAAACAGGGUACAACCUAGACUAACGGGUGAUAUAAUUUCUUAUUAACAAGUGGGCCUAAAAGCAGCCACCUUUAAAAAAGCGUUAAAGCUUAGUCACCUUUGCUACUUUAAUUCCUAAAACAUUUUAAAACCCUUUACCACUAUUAAGUAACUCCAUAAACCUAUGGAAGAUAUUAUGCUAGAACUAGUAACAAGAAAUAGAAUUUCUCCAUAAUGUAAGCUUAAGCCACAAUUGACAAACUACUGGCAAUUAACGGUCAUGAGCCCCGUGUAUCAACAUAACAAGAAAACCUUACACCCCCCACCGUUAACCUUACACCAGAACAUUUAUGGAAAGAUUAAAAGAGAAAGAAGGAACUCGGCAAAUUUUAACCUCGCCUGUUUAC